rnacentral:rRNA from 1 species
CCUACGGGAGGCAGCAGUGGGGAAUAUUGGACAAUGGGCGAAAGCCUGAUCCAGCCAUGCCGCGUGUGUGAAGAAGGCCUUCGGGUUGUAAAGCACUUUCAGUGGGGAAGAAAGCCUUGGGGCUAAUACCCUCGAGGAAGGACAUCACCCACAGAAGAAGCACCGGCUAACUCCGUGCCAGCAGCCGCGGUAAUACGGAGGGUGCGAGCGUUAAUCGGAAUUACUGGGCGUAAAGCGCGCGUAGGCGGUCUGAUAAGCCGGUUGUGAAAGCCCCGGGCUCAACCUGGGAACGGCAUCCGGAACUGUCAGGCUAGAGUGCAGGAGAGGAAGGUAGAAUUCCCGGUGUAGCGGUGAAAUGCGUAGAGAUCGGGAGGAAUACCAGUGGCGAAGGCGGCCUUCUGGACUGAAACUGACGCUGAGGUGCGAAAGCGUGGGUAGCAAACAGGAUUAGAUACCCCGGUAGU